rnacentral:lncRNA from 1 species
UUUUUCCAGGCUCCUGCUUUAUCAUUGUUUUCCUGACUUGUUAGAUGUGUUGUCUUUCUUGGAGUUAUUACUCUAAUGUAAGGUGAAGCAAGUAACAAUAACAAACCAACUCAUCCUCUUGAUGCAAACUUUACAAUCAACUCCACCGUGUGAUUCCAGCAGUGUUGGAUGGAUGCCUUAAAAGGUUUGAAAUUCAACCAAAAAUCCAAGGGAAACCAGUAAAAGUUUGGAUCUGCAUCUGACAAACACAUCUUUGUACAGAGGCCAGAGAGUGAAAUAGAAAGGUA